UACGGAGGAUGCGAGCGUUAUCCGGAUUUAUUGGGUUUAAAGGUGCGUAGGCGGCUUAGUAAGUCAGCGGUGAAAUUUCGCAGCUUAACUGUAACAGUGCCGUUGAUACUGCCAGGCUAGGAUUUGGUUGCUGUGGGUGGAAUGUGUGGUGUAGCGGUGAAAUGCUUAGAUAUCACACAGAAUAUCGAUUGCGAAGGCAGCUCACAAAAGCCAAGAUUGACGCUGAGGCACGAAAGUGUGGGGAGUCAAACA
rnacentral:rRNA from 1 species